rfam:Tyto alba contig44191, whole genome shotgun sequence.
CGGCAGCAAUGAUGACAAGACUUGUAGCUGUAUGUAAUGUCUCAUUACUGCAUGGAGACACCAGUCCCUCUAAACUGAUGUUGCCG